GUCGAGAAUCUUGGGCAAUGCACGCAAGUGUGACCCAGCGACGCCGCGUGAAGGAUGAAGGCCCUCUGGGUUGUAAACUUCUUUUACGGGAGAAGAAUCAAUGACGGUAUCCCGUGAAUAAGCCACGGCUAACUACGUGCCAGCAGCCGCGGUAAUACGUAGGUGGCAAGCGUUGUCCGGAUUUACUGGGCGUAAAGCGAACGCAGGCGGACUGUUAAGUAGAAAGUGAAAGGUCGGAGCUCAACUCCAACAUUGCUUUCUAUACUGGCAGUCUUGAGUAGCGGAGAGGAAGGGGGAACGACACGUGUAGCGGUGAAAUGCGUUGAUAUGUGUCGGAACACCCAUGGCGAAAGCACCCUUCUGGACGCAAACUGACGCUCAGGUUCGAAAGCCAAGGUAGCGAACAGGAUUAGAUACCCUGGUAGUCUUGGCCCUAAACUAUGUUCACUAGGUGUCGGGGGGUUUCCCUCGGUGCCGCAGCUAACGCAUUAAGUGAACCGCCUGGGGACUACGGCCGCAAGGU
rnacentral:rRNA from 1 species